GUGCAGGUGCAGCCAUGAGCUUAGGAGCAUCAAAAAUAUCCAAAUAAGGAGGAGAGUCGGAAUUUGCAGGGCGGUUUAGCAACGUUUCAGGUGAAGUUGAAGCUACUGAAGCGAGCUUCGAAAGAAAUGGAUCCUUCGGGUUAAUAGGAGGUAAAGGUAUUUUAGCUUUGCUUGUAGCGUUCGCACAGCAAACAGUCCUGAAAUUGAUGCCUCUAGGGAGAGAAGAUGACGAAG
rnacentral:misc_RNA from 1 species